rnacentral:rRNA from 1 species
CCUACGGGUGGCAGCAGUGAGGAAUAUUGGUCAAUGGCCGGAAGGCUGAACCAGCCAUGCCGCGUGAAGGACGAAGGUGCUAUGCAUUGUAAACUUCUUUUGUCAGGGGAUAAAAUCAGACUCGAGAACCUGACUGAGUGUACCUGAAGAAUAAGCAUCGGCUAACUCCGUGCCAGCAGCCGCGGUAAUACGGAGGAUGCGAGCGUUAUCCGGAUUUAUUGGGUUUAAAGGGUGCGUAGGCGGACUGUUAAGUCAGCGGUAAAAUCCCGGGGCUCAACCUCGGCGUGCCGUUGAAACUGGGUGUCUAGAGAUGACGAGAGGUAUGCGGAAUGCGCGGUGUAGCGGUGAAAUGCUUAGAGAUUGCGCAGAACACCGAUUGCGAAGGCAGCAUACCG